rnacentral:rRNA from 1 species
GACGAACGCUGGCGGCGUGCUUAACACAUGCAAGUCGAACGGAAAGGCCCUGCUUUUGUGGGGUGCUCGAGUGGCGAACGGGUGAGUAACACGUGAGUAACCUGCCCUUGACUUUGGGAUAACUUCAGGAAACUGGGGCUAAUACCGGAUAGGAGCUCCUGCUGCAUGGUGGGGGUUGGAAAGUUUCGGCGGUUGGGGAUGGACUCGCGGCUUAUCAGCUUGUUGGUGGGGUAGUGGCUUACCAAGGCUUUGACGGGUAGCCGGCCUGAGAGGGUGACCGGCCACAUUGGGACUGAGAUACGGCCCAGACUCCUACGGGAGGCAGCAGUGGGGAAUAUUGCACAAUGGGCGGAAGCCUGAUGCAGCAACGCCGCGUGCGGGAUGACGGCCUUCGGGUUGUAAACCGCUUUCGCCUGUGACGAAGCGUGAGUGACGGUAAUGGGUAAAGAAUCACCGGCUAACUACGUG